rnacentral:rRNA from 1 species
UACGAAGGGGGCUAGCGUUGCUCGGAAUCACUGGGCGUAAAGGGUGCGUAGGCGGCUACUUAAGUCGGAUGUGAAAGCCCCUGGCUCAACUGGGGAAGUGCACCCGAAACUGAGUGGCUUGAGUGCGAAAGAGGGUCGCGGAAUUCCCGGUGUAGAGGUGAAAUUCGUAGAUAUCGGGAGGAACACCGGUGGCGAAGGCGGCGACCUGGGUCGACACUGACGCUGAGGCGCGAAAGCGUGGGGAGCAAACAGG